CUUGGCCCAUAGGAAGUGGCACUAUUAGGAGGUGUGGCCUUGUGGGAGGAAGUGUGUCACUGUGGGGGCGGGCUUUGGGGGGGUCUCCUAUGUUCAAGUCACUUUGGCUUCCUGCUGCCUGCAGAUCCAGAUGUAGACGUCUAUCUCCUUCUCCAGCACCACGUCUGCUUGUGUACCACUGUGUUUCCCACCAUGAGGAUAAUGGACUAAACCGCUAAACUCUCUGAAGCAAGGAAGGAAGAUUCACUGCUUCAUGCCAGCUCUGCCCCUCCUACUUCUCAAGCCGAGGAUCCCUGGGGAACGGAUGGAUGAUACCUGCUGUUGUUUUCCGUUUCCAGAUGAGUUCUAGGGGCUGAUUCACUGGCCAGGAUGUCAACGGUGGACAGAAGCUCUCACACACACACACACACACACACACUCUACCUUAUUUCUGAAGAUAUCAGGCAGCACCCCUCUCUACAUCUCUUCUGGAUAAAGAAAUAGAGUGUGUGUACCCCCUACCCCCACCCCACCCACCUUGACUCUUCAUCAGUGCAGACCCAUCACUCAGGGUCUAAACUGCACAUCACAAUGACCUAAUGAAAACAGG
rnacentral:lncRNA from 1 species